rnacentral:rRNA from 1 species
CAAAGCACAAAUAAACAAAAAUAUCACACUAAUAUGCAAACUCCUAAAACACACUGAGCUACGCUAUAACUAUAGCCGAACUAAUGCUAAAACUAGUAACAAGAUUAAUUCUCUACGACACACCCUUGGCCCAGUAUAGAACACCUACUGAUAAUUAACAGACCAAAUAAACACAACAUACUACACUGUUAUUUAAACUGUCAAACCAACACAGGCGUGUCACAAAGAAAGAUAAAUAGCUAUAGAAGGAACUCAGCAAACCUUAUCCCAACUGUUUACCAAAAACAUAGCCUUUAGCACCACAAGCAUUAAAGGUCCUGCCUGCCCAGUGAACCUGUUUAAACGGCCGCGGUAUUCUAACCGUGCAAAGGUAGCGUAAUCACUUGUCUUCUAAAUAAAGACCAGUAUGAACGGCUAAAUGAGGAUAAACCUGUCUCCUAUAGCCCAUCAGUGAAACUGAUCUUUCAGUCCAAAAGCUGGAAUAAUAACACAAGACGAGAAGACCCUGUGGAGCUUUAAGUCACCUACUAAUUAAAAACUAGUAAAAACUUUAAGUUGGGGCGACUUCGGAACAAAGAAAAACUUCCGAGCACAUGAACCACCACUUCAACCCAAGGCCAACAAGCCGAAGUACCAAAUGACCCAGUCACACUGAUUAACGAACCAAGUUACCCCAGGGAUAACAGCGCUAUCUUCUUUAAGAGUCCCUAUCGACAAGAAGGUUUACGACCUCGAUGUUGGAUCAGGACACCCUAAUGGUGCAGCCGCUAUUAAAGGUUCGUUUGUUCAACGAUUAAUAGU